ensembl:snRNA U1 U1 spliceosomal RNA
AUACUUACCUGGUAGGGAAGAUACCAUGAUCCUGGAGGUGGUUUUCCCAGGGUGAGGUUAAUCCAUUGCACUCAGGGUGUGCUGACCGCUGCUAUUCCCCCAAAUUCAGAAAACUUGACUGUAUAAUUCAUGGUGGUGGGACUUCGUUCUCGCUCUCCCCC